UCAUGAAUCAAACUAGUCCGUCUCCCCUUGCUAAAUCAAACAUCCAGAGUAUGAAUUGAGUUAUUGGUUGAUCCAAAUUCUAAAUUUCUAAUUCAAGAUCAUCAAACAUAGAAGUAUAUCGAAAGUGUUGGAAGAAAAGUUAGAAAUGAAUCUAGGUUGUUUGGGUUGUUGCUGAAGACUCAGAAGAAAAUGACUCAGAAGAGCAGAAAGAAAAAGAAGAAGAAAAUGACUUAUUUCAUGGAUCUGGAUAAUCGAUAUGAGCAGUCUCGGAAAUGUGAACAUGCUGAUCCAUCAUGAAAUCAAUGGGUGAAAAUGAUCUAUUCUUCCUUUAAGCUAUGCAAUCUGCUACUGUGAAGUAACUGAUGAGAUCUGCAAUGUACUUUCCGAUCUCAGUAUCAAGAGUAGAAGCCAAGCACAGCAUUGGCAGGAGAAACUUCCCGCGAUGCAAAGCUGAAAUAGGUACAGUAUCAAGAGUAGAAGCCACCAGAAAGCCAAGCACAACAUUGGCAGGAGAAACUUCCCGCGAUGCAAAGCUGAAAUACUUGCAGCUCUGAUUAUGGGAUGUUCAGGAAGAAUCCAGUGCAACGGCUUAGUAUCUUAGAAUUGGAUGUUUUACAUUGGGUCUCGGCCGUGCCGUUGUUUAACAGUAUUCAAAGGAUACAUGGGAUUAGAAGUGCAUGUAGAGUGGAGUCUAGAGUCUGUAUACAUCUUUUGUGUCUGGUGUGCCUGCAACUAGAGUCAUGGGAAGAAAAAACAACAACAACACUUUACUAUAUAGGAUCUCUUGGAUGAACACCAGGAUUUUUUCCAUUUCCGUAUUUCUACUGGCUACUGUUAAGAUUGUAGCAAUGAAGUUACUAGCUUUUGUACUUCUAUUGGUAGGAUUCUUUGCUCCCAGUAACUGUGUAUUGUACUUACGGAGCAUUUAGGAGAAGCCUUUGACAUACUGAACUAUUUCGGGAUCUGUAAAGUUAACUUCAUUCUUUUGUUUCCAA